rnacentral:rRNA from 1 species
AACGGCGGCCGUAACUAUAACGGUCCUAAGGUAGCGAAAUUCCUUGUCGGGUAAGUUCCGACCCGCACGAAAGGCGUAAUGAUUUGAGCGCUGUCUCGACAAUGCACCCGGUGAAAUUGAAAUACCAGUGAAGAUGCUGGUUACCUGCGCCAGGACGGAAAGACCCCAUGGAGCUUUACUCCAGCUUGAUACUGGGAUUCGGUACUGCAUGUACAGGAUAGGUGGGAGACUGAGAACUAUGAACGCCAGUUUGUAGGGAGUCGCUGUUGGGAUACCACCCUUGCGGUAUUGGAUUUCUAACCUGCAGCCGUGAACCGGCUGGGGGACAAUGUCAGGCGGGGAGUUUGACUGGGGCGGUCGCCUCCGAAAGGGUAUCGGAGGCGCUCAAAGGUUCCCUCAUAAUGGUUGGAAACCAUUAGAAGAGUGCAAAGGCAUAAGGGAGCUUGACUGCGACACCGACGGGUGGAGCAGGUAGGAAACUAGGACUUAGUGAUCCGGUGGUAUGAAAGUGGGAUUGCCAUCGCUCAACGGAUAAAAGCUACCCUGGGGAUAACAGGCUUAUCACUCCCAAGAGUUCACAUCGACGGAGUGGUUUGGCACCUCGAUGUCGGCUCAUCGCAUCCUGGGGCUGUAGCAGGUCCCAAGGGUUGGGCUGUUCGCCCAUUAAAGCGGUACGCGAGCUGGGUUCAGAACGUCGUGAGACAGUUCGGUCCCUAUCCGGCGCGGGCGUAAGAUAUUUGAGAGGAGCUGUCCUUAGUACGAGAGGACCGGGAUGGACGGGCCGCUGGUGUACCUGUUGGAGUGCCAACUCCAUGGCAGGGUAGCCAAGCCCGGACGGGAUAAACGCUGAAGGCAUCUAAGCGUGAAGCCCCCCUCAAGAUGAGAUAUCUCAUACGCAAGUAGUAAGACCCCUUGAAGACGACGAGGUAGAUAGGUCAGAGGUGGAAGUGUGGUAACACAUGGAGCUGACUGAUACUAAUCGGUCGAGGGCUUGACCAA